AAUAAGUUCAUCCUUAAAACAGAAACGGCGUCUCAGUUAAGAUACAUUUUUAUAAAAUGAAGGAUUUUCUUUUACUUUUCGUUUUGUUAGUAUUUUUUGCCGUGGCUCUCGCAGAUAGUGGAUGUAAUGUUGUACCAUGCAGUAGCUAUUGUCAACAGACUGGACACUUUGGAGGAUACUGCGUAGGACCCAAUUUGAGUACUUGUCAUUGUUACGAUCUUCACGGCAAAAACUGAAACACACAGAAACAAAAUUCCAUUAGAUUCUAUUUCUCACAUCUAAUAAUUUUAUAUAUAUAAACUAUAUCAAAAACGUAGUUACAUUUUUUAUUACUUACUAACACACUCAACCACGAUAUUUUCAAUUCGAUCGAAAACUCUUAACACAAACAAAACAAGCUGCUGUUAGAAAGGAAGAAUAAACAUCACGAAAGCUAAUACGUAUAUUAUAGACUUAGCUAAUCCGUAUCAAGCUACUUAAGUAAAUUCAAAUUUCAAUUCUAAUCUUGAGGCAGCAUAGAUCGUAAAAAUAACCUAUUCUCUUACCAGUGUAAUAAUGAACGCUCAUUAUUGUACUAGUAACAAAAUAAUGAGAAACGAUAGCAACGUCUUACUAUGGACAUUGUAACCA